rnacentral:sRNA from 1 species
UAUGAAAAUUUGCUUUCCCCAAAGGAAGCCGCCGCCGAAACAUCAAAAGGCACGAGAAGACAACAAAAACACUGCAGUCGUGAGGAAAGCGGAAAAUCAGAGUGGGAAAAGCGGAACGGGCAACGGGAAUCCGGAGGAGCAAUCAUCUGGGCAAUUUGCAUUUUCAAUUUGCAGCUACAAACAAGAGAAAAAGAUAAGCGCCGAACCACAAAACGCCGCCUUAAACGCGACCUAACGAAGCAAUAAUCAAUUAUCAAUAAAUUUCCCAAACGCCACGCCCACCCACAGAAGCAAAGAGAAGGCGGAGAAACCUCUCGGCGCUGAUUAAGGAUGUUUUUGGCUUUUAUCUGCGAGUCGAAGACAUCUCGAUGCUCUUUAUGAGCUGCCGAGUGGGGAAUAUUCGCCAAAUAUUUGCUCGAUUGGCUUCUGGUCUCUGGUUUCUGUUUUUCGCUGGGGCUGCUGCGUUUGGACUUCCCUAUCCGGGUCUCGUCCUGAAAAUGUCCUCGCAGUCACGCCCUUUCCGUGCUUUAAUGACAUUUUAAGCACACAAACACGCACGUAUGCAAAAAAUAGGGAGUUGGGGGCGGGAAUUCAAAGUCGCAUCAUGGAAAACAACGUUUAUACGUUGACAUCAAGCCCGCAUGAACGGAAAUUGCGAGCGCAGAUGACAGUUAACGACAUCGAGACACCUUAACACCUUGUCGCCCAACGAGUGCGUAAGAGGACGGCAAGAACAAGAGCAGAUGAGCAGCCUUGAGCGAAACAGGAUGCCUUCAUCUGCAGUUAUUGGUAUCCUGGCAUCCCGUGCCGUUGCCGUUUUAUCCUUGACUGCAUUUUGGCGGCACUUGCUUUCUGUUUUCCCACACCAACCUCCACCACUGACAUUUUCCCGCCGCGCCUCUUUGCAAAUUACUUUGCAAAGAUGAAGAGACAGUCACCUGCAACAUUUUAAACUUGGAAAAAAAGUGCGGUCUCCUGUAAAGAAUACUUCACUGUUUAUUUAAAAUGAAACAGCUUAAAAUGAUGAUAAAA